rnacentral:rRNA from 1 species
AACCAACGCUGGCGGCGUGCCUAAUACAUGCAAGUCGAACGGGGAAAGCUUUCGGGUGAGUACUAGUGGCGCACGGGUGAGGAACGCGUGGAUAAUCUGCCUUAGAGUGGGGGAUAACUAGUCGAAAGAUUAGCUAAUACCGCAUAAGACCACGAGAGCUGCGGCUUUUGAGGUCAAAGGUUUUUCGCUCUAAGAUGAGUCCGCGUAAGAUUAGCUAGUUGGUGAGGUAACGGCUCACCGAGGCGACGAUCUUUAACUGGUCUGAGAGGAUGAUCAGUCACACUGGAACUGAGACACGGUCCAGACUCCUACGGGAGGAAGCAGUAGGGAAUAUUGCACAAUGGAGGAAACUCUGAUGCAGCGACGCCGCGUGAGUGAUGAAGGCCUUCGGGGCGUAAAGCUCUGUCGCAGGGGAAUAACACAAUGAAGGUACCCUGUAAGAAAGGAUCGGCUAACUUCGUG